UCCUUUGUAAAUAACCUUUCUUCAGAAAAUUGGUGGAAGUGACUCACUUCCUCGACAUUGCAUCAAAAAAAAAAAAAGAUAAAUAUGCUGUAACUUCACAGCCGGGGUGAGAGAGGGAGAUUUGACCGAGAGUUGCUAAUUAUGACUUCGUACUAAUAUAUGCAUGCCUUUUGUUUCCUUUUUCUCUCAAGAAGAGAAGACGCUAUUUUGAGUGUACCUGGCAUUUGGUUGCAAGAAGAGGGAGAAAGGGGGCGGGCA
rnacentral:lncRNA from 1 species